UAACACAGCCAUACUACCCUGAACGUGCCUGACCUCUGAAGCUAAGCAGGGUCAGGCCUGAUGAGUACUUAGGUGAAAAAACAUCCUUACUUUCAUAUGGUCAGCUUCUCACUGUGUGCU
rnacentral:rRNA from 1 species